rnacentral:rRNA from 1 species
GGGCCCGCACAAGCGGUGGAGCAUGUGGUUUAAUUCGAUAAUCCGCGAGGAACCUUACCAACCUUUGACAUAUUUGUCGCGAGUGUAGAGAUACACUUUUCAUCUAGGAUGGACAUUUACAGGGUUGCAUGGUCGUCGUCAGCUCGUGUCGUGAGAUGUUGGGUUAAGUCCCGCAACGAGCGCAACCCCUAUCGUUAGUUGCCAGCAUUUAGUUGGGCACUCUAGCGAGACUGCCGGUGAUAAGCCGGAGGAAGGCGGGAUGACGUCAAGUCCUCAUGGCCCUUAUGGGCUGGGCUACACACGUGCUACAAUGGCAGUGACAGAGGGACGCUACUUCGCGAGAAGAUGCAAAUCUCAAAAAGCUGUCUCAGUUCGGAUUGUUGUCUGCAACUCGACAACAUG